rnacentral:rRNA from 1 species
ACGAACGCUGGCGGCGUGCCUAAUACAUGCAAGUCGAACGCUUCUUUCCUCCCGAGUGCUUGCACUCAAUUGGAAAGAGGAGUGGCGGACGGGUGAGUAACACGUGGGUAACCUACCCAUCAGAGGGGGAUAACACUUGGAAACAGGUGCUAAUACCGCAUAACAGUUUAUGCCGCAUGGCAUAAGAGUGAAAGGCGCUUUCGGGUGUCGUUGAUGGAUGGACCCGCGGUGCAUUAGCUAGUUGGUGAGGUAACGGCUCACCAAGGCCACGAUGCAUAGCCGACCUGAGAGGGUGAUCGGCCACACUGGGACUGAGACACGGCCCAGACUCCUACGGGAGGCGGCAGUAGGGAAUCUUCGGCAAUGGACGAAAGUCUGACCGAGCAACGCCGCGUGAGUGAAGAAGGUUUUCGGAUCGUAAAACUCUGUUGUUAGAGAAGAACAAGGACGUUAGUAACUGAACGUCCCCUGACGGUAUCUAACCAGAAAGCCACGGCUAACUACGUG